CGGCCCCUUCAACACAGUGAACUUUACACCCCAGUUAACUGUCUCUCCCUCAACACUUGACAGCAGACGCACUGGUAUCAACUUAUUUACGUAUAAGUAACUUUUAGACAAAUGCCAUCUGACUUCUUAACAUCUGCUACUUUAUUAGUAACUUGCGCUCCAUUAAGACCCUUUAGCUCAAACUCCCCUUCCUUCUUCUAAAAUAAAUUCAAUAUGUUGAUAUUUGACCCGCUGCACCUGCUGAAUCAACUACUCGUCUGUACACGUCCCAACUGCAUUUAUUGUAAUUUGAUGUUCAUUAUUGUCUAUGCAUACAGACAGAGUGCACAAUUUAUUCCCAAAUUACAGGGAUCAGGCAAAAAGAGUGAACAGGUUAAACAAGCAUGGUCGAGAACUCAGGUGUUCAGGUCGAAGGCAAAAGUACAAGACAGCAGACAAGCAGGGUAAUCCAGGAAACAGGCAGAAUGGCCCAAGAGGCUGGUCACAGGGACAAAAAUACAGGAUGAAGGAGAGAAAAACAAUGAGCAAAAACACAGUACACAUAGGAUGAUAACGAUUUCAAACAACAGGCUUCACAUGUAUGCAAAACAAUACCACACAAAGAGUGGCGAACCAAGGGAGAACCAAAUAGUGAGAGGUAAUGGGAAACAGGUGACUGGUAUCCAGUUGAUUGGGAUCUGGGGUGUGAGCAACGUUCAGUAGAGGGAGGUUGUGUGUGUGUUUGUGUGUGUAGGUGCCUAUAUUUACUACAGACUGUAAAAUCAUUAUGUUGAUCAUGUGAAUAGCACAGAAACCAUGUGAAAGUACAUUCAGGUGCUCUACCAUUCAGUAGACACAAGACCGAUCAACACUCAAUGUAGACUGGUUUUUGACAUGAGAGUUUUCACUGUGAGCUGGGUGAGAGUAUUUGGCUCUGGGACAAGACUUUAUGUGACAGACCAGGAAGUCCAAAAACCCAUCGUGACGAUCUACCCACUGUCUAACCCUGAGCCAAAGGGAAACACCACCCUGCUAUGUUUGGCUAAGGACAUGUUCCCAGACUUAGUCAAGAUCUCAUGGAAGAUGAGGAAUGAGAAUGGCACAGCAGAAGAGAUGCCUCAAGAAGAGAAGGAACAGCUGGAACAGAUGGAACAGAUGGAUGAAGGACAGACGACCAGUAUGAUCAUCAUUGAUGGAGAGAAGGCCGAUGUUAAUAAAUACAUCUGUUGGGUGGAGCAUGAAGUAUGCAAUAUGCCUGACACAAAAACAGAAACAGUAACAGAAUCCAUCAACACCAUAUAUAAUCUGAACCUGGCCUCGCUGGCUUAUACAGUGAUGAUAGUGAAGAGCCUGGUGUUCUGCUGUGGGUUUGCUCUCCUGCUUCAACUGAGGAACAUGGGAAGUAGACCUUGCGGCCUCACAUUCAAUUAACACCUACUGGGUCUGAGUUGUCCACUAAUUCCAGGUAAAAUCAAGAAUAAUUUGAACUAUGUCAAUGGAGUUGAAAUGAAAGAUCCAUAUUUUUUCUUGGGACUUACAAGUCAACACAGGAUUACAAAAACUGCAGAAUAAUAUAAUUCAAACAUAAUCAUUUGGAGUUCUAGUGGGAAGCAUCGGUGUAGGUUUGUUUGUAUAUUGGGGGGGGGGGGGGUCAAUAAAUCCCAGGAUAUUCACUCUUUUCCACGGGGGGAUAUUGACCUGUCUGUGAUAUGGGGGGGGGGGGGGGGGAGGUCAUGACCCCCCUGUCCCCUUCUCAUUCUAUGCCCCUGGUGGGAUGGGAGUAAAAAUCAUCCCAUUGAAGUAGUAGCCCACAUUUCAGCUGUAUUGCUUUUAAAUGCCAAAAACAUUUUAGUCAUAGAUUUUCUAUUUAUUGUUUGUAUUGUGCUUUUAAUUCAAAAAAACUGCUUAUUGCUACUGAGUAAACAAAUUAUUUGUAGUGUCAGCUAAAUUAAUAAAUGUGAUUUGUCCAUUAAAUCAUUAUUGUUCAGUUUUUUUACAUUAACAUGGCUUGUAGUUCAUUGAU
rnacentral:lncRNA from 1 species